GACGAACGCUGGCGGCGUGCUUAACACAUGCAAGUCGAACGGAAAGGCCUUUUCGGAGGUACUCGAGUGGCGAACGGGUGAGUAACACGUGGGUGAUCUGCCCUGCACUCUGGGAUAAGCCUGGGAAACUGGGUCUAAUACCGGAUAGGACCGCACUUUAGUGUGUGUGGUGGAAAGUUUUUUCGGUGUAGGAUGAGCCCGCGGCCUAUCAGCUUGUUGGUGGGGUAAUGGCCUACCAAGGCGGCGACGGGUAGCCGGACUGAGAGGUUGGUCGGCCACAUUGGGACUGAGAUACGGCCCAGACUCCUACGGGAGGCAGCAGUGGGGAAUAUUGCACAAUGGGCGCAAGCCUGAUGCAGCGACGCCGCGUGGGGGAUGACGGCCUUCGGGUUGUAAACUCCUUUCGCCAGGGACGAAGCGUUUUGUGACGGUACCUGGAGAAGAAGCACCGGCUAACUACGUGCCAGCCGCCGCCGUAACAC
rnacentral:rRNA from 1 species